CACUGAAUAGGCUAGGGGGCAUAGCGCUUACCGAACCUUAUCAAACUCCGAAUGCCACAUACUAUCAGUCCGGCAGUCAGACUAUGAAAGAUAAGUUCCAUGGUCAAAAGGGAAACAGCCCAGAUCGUCAGCUAAGGUCCCAAAGUGUAAGUUAAGUGGAAAAGGAUGUGGGAUUUCUAAGACAACUAGGAUGUUGGCUUAGAAGCAGCCACUCAUUAAAAGAGUGCGUAAUAGCUCACUAGUCAAGAGAUCCUGCGCCGAAAAUGUCCGGGGCUCAAACUUACCACCGAAGCUACGGGUUCACGCAUUUGCGUGAGCGGUAGAGGAGCGUCGUAAUCGGGCUGAAGUCGUACCGUAAGGAGCGGUGGACUGAUUACGAGUGAGAAUGUUGGCAUUAGUAGCGAGAUGUAGGCGAGAAUCCUACAGGCCGAAUAUCUAAGGUUUCCUGAGUAAAGUUUGUCUUCUCAGGGUUAGUCGGGACCUAAGGCGAGGCCGAAAGGCGUAGUCGAUGGACAAUUGGUUGAUAUUCCAAUACCACUAUAAUCGUUAUUAUCGAUGGUGUGACGGAGAAGGAUAGGAUGUGCUAGCUAUUGGAUGCUAGUCUAAGCGUUUAGGGAGUUGGGAUUGGCAAAUCCGUUCCAACAAUUCUGAGGCGUGAUGGGGAAGGUUCUACGGAACCGAAGUAUCUGAUUCCAUGCUUCCAAGAAAAGCAUCUAGAAAGAGAAGUAGUGCCCGUACCGCAAACCGACACAGGUAGAUGAGGAGAGAAUCCUAAGGCCGACGGAAGAAUUGCAGUUAAGGAACUAGGCAAAUUGACCCCGUAACUUCGGGAGAAGGGGUGCCUGAGAAAUCAGGCCGCAGAGAAUAGGCACAAGCAACUGUUUAACAAAAACACAGGUCUCUGCUAAAGCGAAAGCUGAUGUAUAGGGGCUGACGCCUGCCCGGUGCUGGAAGGUUAAGGGGAACACUUAGCGAAAUAUCGUGAAGGUGUGAACUUAAGCCCCAGUAAACGGCGGCCGUAACUAUAACGGUCCUAAGGUAGCGAAAUUCCUUGUCAGGUAAGUUCUGACCCGCACGAAUGGCGUAAUGACUUGUGCACUGUCUCAACUGCAAAUCCGGCGAAGUUGUAGUGCGAGUGAAGAUGCUCGCUACCCGCGAUUGGACGGAAAGACCCCGUAGAGCUUUACUGUAGCUUAGCAUUGAAUUUCGGUAUUGUCUGUACAGGAUAGGUGGGAGACUGGGAAACUAGGGCGUCAGCCUUGGUGGAGUCGUUGUUGGGAUACCACCCUGAUAGUAUUGAAGUUCUAACUGGAUGCCAUGAAACUGGUGACAGGACAUUGUUAGGUGGGCAGUUUGACUGGGGCGGUCGCCUCCUAAAAUGUAACGGAGGCGCCCAAAGGUUCCCUCAGAACGGUCGGAAAUCGUUCGAAGAGUGUAAAGGCAGAAGGGAGCCUGACUGCGACACCUACAAGUGGAGCAGGGACGAAAGUCGGGCUUAGUGAUCCGGUGGUACCUCGUGGGAGGGCCAUCGCUCAACGGAUAAAAGCUACCUCGGGGAUAACAGGCUGAUCUCCCCCAAGAGUUCACAUCGACGGGGAGGUUUGGCACCUCGAUGUCGGCUCGUCGCAUCCUGGGGCUGAAGUAGGUCCCAAGGGUUGGGCUGUUCGCCCAUUAAAGCGGCACGCGAGCUGGGUUCAGAACGUCGUGAGACAGUUCGGUCCCUAUCCGUCGCGGGCGUAGGAAAUUUGAGAGGAGCUGUCCUUAGUACGAGAGGACCGGGAUGGACUGACCUAUGGUGUACCAGUUGUUUCGCCAGAAGCAUAGCUGGGUAGCUAAGUCGGGAAGGGAUAAACGCUGAAAGCAUCUAAGUGUGAAGCCCACCUCAAGAUGAGAUUUCCCAUAGCAUAAGCUAGUAAGACCCCUUGAAGACUACAAGGUUGAUAGGUCAGAGGUGUAAGUGCGGCAACGUAUUUAGCUGACUGAUACUAAUAGGUCGAGGGCUUGACCAA
rnacentral:rRNA from 1 species